rnacentral:rRNA from 1 species
GACAGAGGGGGCAAGCGUUGCUCGGAAUCACUGGGCGUAAAGGGCGCGUAGGCGGGAUGGCAAGUCGGUCGUGAAAUCUCUCGGCUCAACCGAGAAACGUCGGCCGAUACUGCCGUUCUUGAGGGAUGCAGAGGAGACUGGAAUUCCCGGUGUAGCAGUGAAAUGCGUAGAUAUCGAGAGGAACACCAGUGGCGAAGGCGAGUCCCUGGACAACUCCUGACACUGAGGCACGAAAGCUAGGGGAGCAAACAGG